rnacentral:rRNA from 1 species
UACAGGGGGUGCAAACGUUGCUCGGAAUUAUUGGGCGUAAAGCGCGCGUAGGCGGCCGCUUAAGUCGGAUGUGAAAGCCCCUGGCUCAACUGGGGAAGUGCACCCGAAACUGAGUGGCUUGAGUACUAAAGAGGGUCGCGGAAUUCCAGGUGUAGCGGUGAAAUGCGUAGAUAUCUGGAGGAACACCGGUGGCGAAGGCGGCAUCCUGGACCGGUAUUGACGCUGAGGCGCGAAAGCCAGGGGAGCAAACGGG